GUAGGUGGCAAGCGUUGUCCGGGAAUUAUUGGGGCGUAAAGCGCACGCAGGCGGUUCUUUAAGUCUGAUGUGAAAGCCCACGGGCUCAACCGUGGAGGGUCAUUGGAAACUGGAGAACUUGAGUACAGAAGAGGAAAGCGGAAUUCCACGUGUAGCGGUGAAAUGCGUAGAGAUGUGGAGGAACACCAGUGGCGAAGGCGGCUUUCUGGUCUGUAACUGACGCUGAGGCGCGAAAGCGUGGGGAGCAAACAGGAUUAGAUACCCUGGUAGUCCACGCCGUAAACGAUGAGUGCUAAGUGUUAGGGGGUUUCCGCCCCUUAGUGCUGCAGCUAACGCAUUAAGCACUCCGCCUGGGGAGUACGGCCGCAAAGGCUGA
rnacentral:rRNA from 1 species